AGCCUGAACGCUGGCGGCGUGGUUAAGACAUGCAAGUCGCACGGACGUAGCAAUACGUUAGUGGCGAACGGGUGAGUAAUGAAUCGCUAAUGUACCCCGGACUCCGGGAUAGCUGCCCGAAAGGGCAGGUAAUACCGGAUGACAUAACCGCACGGCAUCGUGUGGUUCUCAAGGGUCCGCCGGUCUGGGAGCAGGCGAUUUCGUAUCAGCUAGUUGGUGAGGUAACGGCUCACCAAGGCGACGACGCGUAGCCGGACUGAGAGGUUGGCCGGCCACAUCGGGGACUGAGACACUGCCCGGACUCCUACGGGGGGCUGCAGUAACGAAUCUUCCCCAAUGCACGAAAGUGUGAGGGAGCGACGCCGCGUGUGGGACGAAGUCCUUCGGGAUGUAACCACUGUCAGGGGAUACCAAGUUCUGAGGAUCCCCAGAGGAAGAGGCGGCUAACUCUGCGCCAGCAGCCGC
rnacentral:rRNA from 1 species